rnacentral:rRNA from 1 species
AUUGAACGCUAGCGGCAGGCUUAACACAUGCAAGUCGAGCGAGCGGCGGACGGGUGAGUAAUGUCUGGGAAACUGCCUGAUGGAGGGGGAUAACUACUGGAAACGGUAGCUAAUACCGCAUACCAUCAGAUGUGCCCAGCUGGGAUUAGCUAGUAGGUGGGGUAAUGGCUCACCUAGGCGACGAUCCGUAGCUGGUCUGAGAGGACGACCAGCCACACUGGAACUGAGACACGGUCCAGACUCCUACGGGAGGCAGCAGUGGGGAAUAUUGGACAAUGGGGGAAAGCCGGAUGCAGCCAUGCCGCGUGUGUGAAGAAGGCCUUCGGGUUGUAAAGCACUGUCGGCGGGGAAGCGUUACUCGCAGAAGAAGCACCGGCUAACUCCGUGCCAGCAGCCGCGGUAAUAC